AAUUCUCUAGUUCAUCAAAGGUUUGAGUUCUGACACACUUCCCUUUCUUUUUCUUCUUUUUCAUUGAUUAUUUUUUAUAUGGUAAUUUAGCUGCUGCUGUGUUGUGUCGUUAAGUUUGUACACUGCUGUGAAGUCCUAGACCCUCACAUUUUGGAACAUUCUUUGAUUCUUAAUAUGUUCAGGAUGCAGACGAAGCUAGCGAUGAAGAUUGGGCUGCUUGAGUUAUUAUAUUUUAUAAUUCGAUAGAAUGAUGGCAACUGUUCUCAAUGGUUCUGCAAUUGCUCUCGUGGGCGAACCUUGCUAUAGAUGUCAUGAAUACAAAAGGCAAACAAAAGUGUUGUCAUCUUUUGUUUGUUUCAUUUCUACUUAAGUUACAUGUACACACACAUUCAUGAAGUCUUUGGCUGUAGAGUGACACUUGAAUUUCCAUACGGGAACAUAUGUAACAUUAAAGUUUUAGUUCCAAAAUGCAAGGUCUGGCCGUUGCUUGUGAGAGAAAUU
rnacentral:lncRNA from 1 species